GGUACUUGUACACGUUGCGGUGCAACGAUAGUAAAAGA
rnacentral:ncRNA from 2 species